UACGUAGGGGGCAAGCGUUGUCCGGAAUUAUUGGGCGUAAAGAGCUCGUAGGCGGCUUGUUGCGUCGGUUGUGAAAGCCCGGGGCUUAACUCCGGUUCUGCAUUCGAUACGGGCUAGCUAGAGUGUGGUAGGGGAGAUCGGAAUUCCUGGUGUAGCGGUGAAAUGCGCAGAUAUCAGGAGGAACACCGGUGGCGAAGGCGGAUCUCUGGGCCAUUACUGACGCUGAGGAGCGAAAGCGUGGGGAGCGAACAGG
rnacentral:rRNA from 1 species